rnacentral:rRNA from 13 species
AACCUUCAACGGUGGAUGUCUUGGCUCUCAUAUCGAUGAAGAACGCAGCAAAGUGCGAUAAGCAAUGCGAAUUGCAGACCGUGAGUCAUUAGAAUUUCGAAAGCAAUCUGCACCUCCGCCUAGCGAGAGGUAUGUCUGCUUCAGUGUUC